CGGCGGAGCUGUGUCAACUCGU
rnacentral:siRNA from 1 species